CUACGUGCCAGCAGCCGCGGUAAUACGUAGGGCGCGAGCGUUGUCCGGAAUUAUUGGGCGUAAAGAGCUUGUAGGCGGUUUGUCGCGUCUGCUGUGAAAGGCCGGGGCUUAACUCCGUGUAUUGCAGUGGGUACGGGCAGACUAGAGUGCAGUAGGGGAGACUGGAAUUCCUGGUGUAGCGGUGGAAUGCGCAGAUAUCAGGAGGAACACCGAUGGCGAAGGCAGGUCUCUGGGCUGUAACUGACGCUGAGAAGCGAAAGCAUGGGGAGCGAACAGGAUUAGAUACCCUGGUAGUCCAUGCCGUAAACGUUGGGCACUAGGUGUGGGGGACAUUCCACGUUUUCCGCGCCGUAGCUAACGCAUUAAGUGCCCCGCCUGGGGAGUACGGCCGCAAGGCUAAAACUCAAAGAAAUUGACGGGGGCCCGCACAAGCGGCGGAGCAUGCGGAUUAAUUCGAUGCAACGCGAAGAACCUUACCAAGGCUUGACAUA
rnacentral:rRNA from 1 species